CGGCUGGGUACAUGACUCCAAGUAUCUUGCGGGCUUCUCAAGUCACUGAUCUACGGUCCCAGCAAUGCACCGAAGAAAUGAGCAAUUGGUCGAGGGUCACACAGGGGUUUAAGGCGACCCACGAGACGACCUCUUCCACAGUCGUCGGAGCCCCUGUAGUGGGCUUGUUCUCCGUCCCGCGGUGCCACUUGGGGGCAUCAUCAUAGUCCACCCCCCAUCGUCCUCUGCUUCCGAGAGGGACCAGUCUUCCCG